GUCUAAUUGAAUUUAAAAUAAUUAGUUUGUUYUGCCCAUUGAAUUAAAUUUUAAAGGCUGCAGUAAUUUAACUGUACAAAGGUAGCAAAAUCAAUAGUUUUUUAAUAGGAAACUUGUAUGAAUGAAUUGAUAAGAUAUUAAUUGUCUCAAAUUUAUUUAAUUGAAUUUAAAUUAAAAGUUAAAAUUCUUUUAUUUAUUUAUUAGACGAUAAGACCCUAAGAAUUUUAUAAUUUUUUUUUUAAGAAUUUAUGAAUUAAAAAAUUAAUAUUUUAAAAAUAAAUUUAUUUUAUUGGGAGGGUAAUUAAAUUUAACUUUAAUUUUUAAAAAACUUUGAUAAAUGAAUUUUAAUGAUUGAUAUUUAAAUUAAAAGAAAUAAUUACCUUAGGGAUAACAGCGUAAUAUUUUUGGAUAGUUCAUAUUGAUAAAAUUGUUUACGACCUCGAUGUUGAAUUAAAAUAAAAAUUAAAUGGAGAAGUUUAUUUUUUUAGUCUGUUCGACUAUUGAAAUUUUACA
rnacentral:rRNA from 1 species